rnacentral:sRNA from 1 species
AUGUACCACGCGUGCACUGCGGUUGUGAGUGCGCCGUCCGCGCCCACCUGACAGCGCCCGCUACGUUGUGUUAGCC